UCGCCUGCCCUGCCCCCGGCCGCCGCGGGGUCUGCGCCUGCUCCGCAGCGGCCGCGGCAGCAGCCGGGAAUGGCGGCUGUUUUGGAGCUGCUGCUGCAGGAGGAGGUGGCGGUCAGCGACGUGGUGCGGUGGCUCCGCCGCAGCGCCGGCCAUCGCCCCGCUGAGGAGAACCACGUCCAUGACAAGCUGGUACCUCUCAGUUUGCUUCAGAAAGACUUUGUGCCUUUUCUGCUCAAUUUUUUAAGGGAGCAAACCAGCCAGAUCCUGACUAAUGGACCCUCUACUCCUGCUAAAACCCCUAGUUCCAAGGGCCACGGGAGCCAAAGGACGGGAUCCGAAAGGCGGGCGGGCCACGCAAGCAGCAGCCGGGUGCAGCUCUUUUCCCAGAGGACAUCGGUGACCACCAGCACAGACACCAGCUUCUCUCCUCCCGUGGCGUCCAGCGGCUCCUCUUCCUUUUCUGGGUCAAGCCUGUCCAGCCCUCCUUGUGGUGACUUCCCUGGCGUGGCCUCCGGCAGCAGCCCGAGCUUCCGCUACAGCCCCGUGCUCAGCCAGGGCGAGAGGCGCUGGGCUCAGAAGGCCAGCCUGGGGAGCUUCCUCAGCGCCACGCCUGAGGCCCUGCCCGCCAGGCGAGGCCGGAGGAAAGGCAGCGGCGCGGCCAGUGCCCCCGGCCGACAGGUAGCCCGGGAUCUGGGGCAUGCCCUGGCUGAAGAGGAAGACGGGAGGAACGAAGGCGUGUCGUGGAGCGGAGGGAGAAGGAAGCGGAGCGAAGUGCCUCUUGUUUCUGCCAGAUCCCCACCCAGCCAGCUCAAUCUCAACAACUUGGAGGAGUUUCCCCCCAUGGGUGCUGCCUCUGGCUGGACAAACAAAAGCAAACCAUCGAGGCGUAUCAACCCGACUCCUGUAAGUGCUGAGCGGCCCCUCUCAAAACCAAAGAUGUGCUUCACUUCUACACCCGUCAGCCAGUCUCCAGCUGCUCGGUUUUCAUCUGUGUCAAGCCUUGAGGCCUUUACCACUGUCCAGGAAGGAAACCUCACGUCUGUGAUAAGCAGCAGCCUUCGAGAGGAGAGGGAGAUGCUAAAGAAAGAACGAUGCAAGUUGCUGCACCAGGCAUCUUCUCCUGCAGGGAUACCUCCUGAUCCUACUACUCCUACUAAGCCUGGCUACACUCGCAGUGCUAGCCUUCCUGCUGAAAGCCAUCUGGUGACCUGUGCCAAUCCUACUAAGGUUUCCUGCAAGAGGCAGCUGGAGUGCCUGGCACAGCUCUACUCGUCAUGUAUAGCAGAAAACCUGGUACCAAGUAUUUUUCUGGAGCUCUUUUUUGUUCUGCAGCUGUUGACAUCUAAAGGCACUUCAGCUGCAGAAGAUGGGGAUAGUGACCUUGAGGUCAAUGAAAGAAUCAAAGAUGUGUCAGGGGGACAACAUUUCCAAAGUGUUCACAACUGUGUUUAUUUUGCUGUUCAAGUCUUGGAUUAUCAGUAUGAAAUUAUUUCCCAUUUAGAAAAGGGGACACUGAAGCUUUUGGCUGAAAAUGAAAGGAUUGCAGCUUUUUCUCCCACCUUGCACGAGAGGCUCAGGCAGGCCUACGAGAGCAGCACAGCCAAGGUGUCUCUCUUGCUGCCAUGCUCUGUGCAGUCAGUCUCCUUCCAGCCAGAAACAGACAAUCGCUCUAACUUUCCCAGUGACAGAGCUUUCCACAUAUUUAAGAAACAGAGGGAUAUAUUCUAUGAACUGCUGCGUGAAUGGGAGGAUAACCAUGAAAAACCUGACUGGCACUUUGAAAGAGUUCUGGGCAACAAGAUCAGGGCCAUGAUGGCUCACCUAUCUGCAACCUGCAACCACAGCCAUUUUGCCAGGCUCUUUCAGAAACAGCUGAUCCAGAUGUGUAAAGGUCCUGUUGGUGGUGGUGUGAGCUGGGGAGACACCCCAGACCAGGAUGUCCUUAAUAUGCUGGGUUCUGACAAUUUGAGCCGUCUGAAGAGGCUGCAGGAAAGAUUUGUUGUUCCUCAGAGCAUCAGAGGACCUUGCCCACCUCCUUCAUUCCCAGGGUGCCAGCAGUUCUUCAAGGACUUCAUCCUCAGUGCAGGAAGUUACCAGUUCAAUCAGCACCUGAUGGAUAGCCUGUGCCUGAAGAUACUUGAACUGAAUGGCCUUACUGUGGUGGAGCACGAGCACAGUGAUGGGGAAGCAGACAUGGAUGAACAGGAUGAAAAGAAACGUUUCACUGUGGUUCUGUUAAGCCUAAGACUCCUGGCCAAGUUCCUGGGCUUCCUUGUUUUCUUGCCGUAUCGUGCUGGGGAGCAACCAACUAGAGACCUGCAAGACUCUGCAGUAGCCUUAAGAAACCAAACCCUGCCUAUACUGGAUGUAUUGAAGCUCCUGAGACAGUCUAUUCGGGAUCAACGUUCCAUCCUCACUGUUCCUUGGAUUGCAGAGUACCUUUCCCUUGUGGAUCAUGUUGCUCCUUUCCUUGAUUACUACAGGAAAGUAUUCUGUCUCUUGCUGCAGAUAUACAGGUUAAUGGUCCUUUCUGAAGAUAAGGAGAUGAGUUUCCUGAACAAACUGCUGAUCCUUGCAGUUCUGGGUUGGCUUUUUCAGGUUCCAUCAGUCCCUGAAGAGUUGUUUUUUACCACUGAUGUCAGGCAGGAGGGGUCUAUGAUGGAUACUGUGACAUCUGCUCAGGCUCUGGACUCCGUACCCUUGGUGGAUCAGCAGUUACUUUACACCUGCUGUCCCUACCUUGGUGAGCUGAGGAAGCUUCUUGCCUCUUUUGUGGCUGGCAGUGGAGCAAAAAAUGGUGGCUUUAUAAGGAAAAUCACUCCCACAGCCGCUGAGUCCCUGGCACCAAAGGCUUCUGUCACACAGCGGAAAGUGCAGGUGGAGUUGGAACAGGCUUUCUUCCACAACCAGCCUCCUUCCCUACGGAGAACAGUUGAAUUUGUGGCAGAGAGAGUGGGCUCCAACUGUGUUAAGCACAUCAAGGCAACCCUGGUAGCAGAGUUGGUUCAAAGGGCUGAAGUCAUGCUGCAGGAUAAAGUGAAGGAGGAGGAUACCAAUCAUGACAAGCUGCUCGAAGAGGUGUGCGCUCAUCUCUAUGAGGAAGGGGCUCAGGCCCUCAUCAAAGGCAGAGAGUUUUGCAGAAAGAAAGGCCCUGAGGCAGUAAGGGUGUUAUUGCCAGAAGAGACAUCUGCAGCAGUUUUAAGUAGUGCAGAAGACAUUGCAGUGGAACUGGCUACUGAGAAAGCCUGUGGCUGGCUCUCUGCCAACAUUGCAGCACUCAUCAAAAGAGAAGUGAAGGCAACCUUCAACAGAAUGCUGAAAGUCCCAGGCCUUGCCUUGCCCGGCGAGGACGCUCUGGAGUCACGAAGGAACUGCCCUCCAGGCUGCCAGCACUGUGCUCCCUUUCCCUCCCAGAUCAUCAACGAGAUUAAGGAUGUGCUCUGUGUUGCUGUGGGCCCACGGGAUGAGGGUGAAGCGAUUGACUGCGUCUGGCUGGAGAGCUUGCUGGGGAGACUGAGUCAGACACUUCAGUGCAGAAAGUUCAUGUGUCCCACAUCAGAGCAGCAGCUGGCAAAGUGCACAGUUGAGUUGGCUUCUUUGCUGGUGUCAGAUCGUGUUCCUCUGAGUCUCGGGGUCAAGUCCCCAGAGAAGAGCUCCGAGAGGCUGCGUGUAAAGAAUAAUCCCACCUACAGCCUUCUAAAGCUGCUACUUUCUGUCUGGAAGGAGGACUUUGGGACACCUGUGCCUGUGCAGCUCAUCUUCAGCAAGAAGAACAUGGCUUAUCUUGCACAAGUUAAGCAGCGAGAGUGGGAUUUCUUCCUUUUCAUGCUUCAUGGUCUUGUAGAACAUGAACUAAUGAGAACUAACGAAAUCGAGGGUUGCCUGCGUAGCCUCCAAGAGCUCCCUUGGCCCUCAGAUUUCUUGAAAGAGCUGGAAAUGCUGUCUGGAAUGUUUCUAUCAGAACACCAGAGAGAAGAGCCCAGGACUAACCCUCGCGAGCUGACCACACCAUCUCUAGGUACUGUGACAGCACUGAGUUAGCAGAGGUGGACUCUGUGUGGACAAAAAAUUCCUAAUGAAGAUGAUGCAAAUGGAACUUGCAGUGUUUCUGAAAGCAUCCUGAGCUCCCUGCUGGGAGCACACUGCAGCCAGGAGGGCUCUCGGUGCAGAACCUGCACUGCUCUCUCUGAUCGUGGAUGUUUUGCUGCGGUGGAUUGACAUCAGCAAAUGGAUCUCCAAAUCAGAAGUCCUUCAAGCACCUUGAUCUUGGCUCAGAGCAGCCAUUUUUUGUAGACUCAAGAGACACUUUUUGUACUUUCCCAGACCCAGGAAUCCAUCCCAGGGGACAAGGGACUUGGUCAGCAGAGAGCUGGUUUCCUAGCGGCUGUCUCUGCUCUGAACUUGAUGUGAUAUGUCUCAUGCUGUCUUUUAACAAAGACUGUAGAGUCAAGGGAGGGAGGAGGUGAAUCUGUAUGACACAGAAAUGAGCCUAUAUUUAUUUUUCAUUGCCAGCUCAAAUGCAAAAGUUUAGUCUUUAUUAAAUUAGAGAAGUGAAACCACAUUAAACCUUUUACACCAGAACACCGAUGGCAUCAUUCGUAAAGGAUGCAGAUGCUGAGCUGGGUUUUUUCCCCAUCUCUUGUUGGAAACAGAACUUGUAAUUUCCUGGGGUUUUUAAUAGCAAUAAGGGAGAAAAAUACCUGUUUAUAUUUUUUACUGAAGACAGGAGCUUUUCUAGUCUGUGAACACAAAUGGCAUCUGGUUGCUAGUCACUGUUUUCUAUAACCCUCCUUGCCUCGAGCUUGAGUUUGAGCAGACAGGAAGAGCUGCAGCAAGAAAACUACUGGAAGAGCAGAGAAAAAGUAGUGAAAGAGCACUGUGCCAUGCCCUGGAGAGCUGGUUUGGAAAGGAAUCCUUUUCAUGGAGGACAGUGAGUGUUGCAGUGGCCACAGCUCUUUCCAUGAAACCAACAUACCUGGAGUGUCCCUCUAAUACAACAUGCUUGGAGAUUUUUGUUUAGAAGGUGACCAAGCCCCAGGAGCAGUUUGGCACUUCCAGAGGGUGGAGUUGUGCCCUGUUUGGCAGCAGGCAGGCAGCUGUGCCGUGGGACCCAGCAGGUGAAGGGAGUGGUGGAGCUGGACUUGGGAAGGAGCUGCAGCCAGUGCAUCGUUUCGAAACGCCACAACGCGUUUGCUUGGCCAAGGCCCUGCGGCGCAGGAACUGCAGGGCUUUCAUGUCCUGCCUCCUUCACUCUUGGCUUCCAUAAGAAAGGGUGUGGAAGGGGAGCUACAGGACAGGCUGUGGAUCUGGAACUCCUGCUCAGUUGCAGCCAGCUGUUGUGAUGUGCUGCCUCUUUCUCCUUGAGAGGCUGUGGAAGAUGCAUGCCACUCAAAGUGAGCCAUGCCAUGACUCAGGCUGGUAAGAAAAGGGCUGAGCCUUGCCAGAAAGAACAGUGAUUUAUCAGAGUUAAGAUUGUAACCACAGCCAUCUGAAGUCAAAACAAAGCGAAUUAGUAAGUGAAAGGCUUUUGUUACCCUACCUGGUACCAUUUGGAGGGGGGAAGCCUUGGGCUGGUGUGUCUCAAAACUGCUAUUUUCUUAAAUGCCAAUUUAAAACAGCUCUUUCCUUUUAAAACAAGAUAUUCUUCACAGGAAGUAAGCUGAGAGCCAAAAUGACACCUGUGCAAAGAUACAUAGUGAAAGUAGAUCUUGGCACUUGAACUCAGAGGUGGGAAGUGCAGGUGGCAAAACGCUGCCUGGGGGUAAGGGGGAUGCUUGAAUACAUAGCUCUCACUUGACAGAUUCCAAGUGCAACAGCUUAUUGACCAGUGUUGGCUUUUCUGAGCUAAGGAAAGCAUAUCACAGCAGCUUUUAUUGCUUAGACAAGAUACCUAAAGUGAUUCUUUACCGUUGUGCUGAAGGACUAUGUGAAGUUACUCGGAUGUCUGAGGCUGUUGUGGUUUUUGUUUCAGUUGAGGAAUGUGGAAGCAAACUAGGGAGCGUGUUGAACAAACAUGUAACACCUGACAGCAGGAUCAUUGGGCUCAGUUCAACACAAACACCAUGAGGUGCUGGUGCCUGCCUGUGCCCUCUCAGCUGCCCUUGCCCCAGCGCUACCUGGCGAGGAAAUGCGCCAGGCGAGCGAUCACCAGCGGCUGCCGCUUGGCCAUGGAGCUGAGGAGCCUGGCGGGGACGGCCGGGGCGCCCAGAUCCACCUGCAGGAAGCACAAGAGAAGCCACAUGCUGAGGUUUGCAUGCUGAGGUUUGCACCCUGGCCGUCAACAGACCACUUCUGCAGCCUGGGACGGCUCUGAUGGUGUGACCUUGUGGCAAACAUGGAAGCUGUUCACAGCCCAGCGCUGUCGUUACUGGCUGGUUCCAGGAUCCAAGCACUGGGCAGAAUCUCCCCUCUCACCAGUUCCUUCGCGGGGUGCGGCAUGGACGCGUCAUACACAGACUGAACGGCCAGCACAGACAAGUUCUCCUGCAAACAAGUGUGAAGGUGACAACGUGGCAGAGGAACUUCAUGCAUAUAGUAUUGUUUCACUGUUUGCCAGGAGCUGUGUUUCUUAAAAGAGCUCUUUC